AGAGUGCGCGCAUGCGCAGAAGCGUCUGUGUAACUACGGCACUGCCGUUAUUUCGUAAAUUUAGAUCACGCGGCACAGUAUUGCAGUUCAUAUUGUUCGUGUGCGCGCGCAUUUCUUAGUCGUUGCACAAAGAAAAUAUUCCACCAAGAUUACAUAUGAAGACUACAUUCUAUGACAGGUGCGUUGACCUAUACACAUGGUGUCGUUAUCACAGUUCAUAUUCAUCUGCUGCACAAUAAUUUUUUACAGAUCAGACGUGACCCGUCGAGUAAUUGGUCCACGUGCAGUUCGUUUUUUU